rnacentral:lncRNA from 1 species
UUCAAAGUUAAAUUACCCACCAAAUUCUCAUUGCUCUCAAUUAUUACUUCCAUACCCACUUCGAUAUUAUCUUUUCUUUUGUGAUCAUGCUGCCGAUAAAGCACGACAAGUCGUUUCAUCAUCUUUAUGUGCUUAUUGUGCUUCUGUUGCUCAUGAAACUUGCACCUGGGUUCAUUUCUGGAGUGAAAGGGGCAACUUUCGGGUGCAUAGAGAGGGAGAGACAAGCCCUUCUCAAGUUUAAAGAAGACCUUAUUGAUGACUUUGGUCUUCUUUCAACCUGGGGAAGUGAAGAAGAGAAGAGGGAUUGCUGCAAAUGGAGGGGAGUUGGAUGCAACAAUCGAACUGGUCAUGUUACUCAUCUCGAUCUUCACUGGGAGAAAAGCGGCAAGUAUUUAACUGGUAAGAUCAGUAAUUCAUUACUGGAGUUGCAGUAUUUGAGUCACCUGAAUCUAAGUGGAAGCCAUUUUCAGUAUCCAAGUUUCGUGAAUACAAGGGGAAGCGAUUUUCCAGGGAGUCCUUUUGAAGGGAGUACUUUUCCAUAUUUCAUUGGAUCUCUAAAAAAACUAAGAUACCUUGAUCUCUCCUUUACCGGUGUUGUUGGAACUCAGCUUUGGAAUCUCUCAAGAUUACAGAAUAUUUUGACUUGAGUAGAAACAACCUCAGUCAAGCUACUGACUGGAUGGAAAUGGUUAACAAGGUCCCUUUUUUAAAAGUCUUACGGUUAAGUGGAUGUGAUCUUUCAAAUAGCAGUCUUCCCUCUCUUUCUUUUACGAAUUCUUCUAAAUCCCUAGCUGUCAUUGAUCUCUCUUACAACAAUAUUGCUUCUUCAACAUUCAAUUGGUUGUCCAAAUUUAGUAACAGCCUUGUUGAUCUUGAUGUUAGUUGGAAUUGGGUUGAUGUUAAUAGGAAUUGGGAUAACAGUUCUGAAAACCUUGAUUGGCUUUCCUAUCUUUCUUCAUUCUCCGGGUGAAAAUCAAGAUCAGUAACAUGACCAGUUCGAUUGUUGCAUCCAACUCCUUUCUAUUUGCAGCAAUCCCUCUUCUCUUCUACGCUCCCCAAGUUGAAAGAUUGGCGCCCAUUUACAUAUAGAAUUCCUUCUGCAUGGAAAUGGCAAAGUGCUAUUUUAAUGGGCCGUAGGCUGGCCAACCUGCAAUGGUUGAGCCGAGUCUAGCCCAAAUCUUUUUAAAAAAACAACAAAAAUCAAAUUUAUUAAGCCAAUCUCGGGCCAACCUUUUUUGGGGGUUGAAUUCAGCACUACAAGAAUGGGCUCCACCUAGUCAUCUAGGCCGCUUAGCCUACAUAUUUAAUAUUAUUUAAUUAUAAUAAUAUAAUAUUAUAUUUAUAAAAAAUAAAAACAAAUUCAAAAAAAAUUUCAAGGGGCAUUUUAAAAUAUUUUUUAUUUUCUCGCGUGUUUUUCUACCAAUUUUACUUAAUAUUGAGUUAUAUUUUUACAUUGUAAGAUACAAAUUUGAUAUUAAAAUACCUGAUUUUCUCCAAAAUCUCUCUAAAAAAUUCAAAAACAAAUAUCAAAACUUUUAAAUUAAUUUCCCUUUUAAAAAAAGAAAAAAAUAUUUUGUUUUCAUGCAUACGGCCAAAUCCUAAAAUUUUUUCAAGCAUAUUUUAAUGAAAAAACAAAAAUUGCAUCGUUCUUAUAUUUUAAAAUACAAAAUGAAUAUCGUAAUCAUUUUAUGAUUAUCCAUUAAGGUUUGACUAAAAUGUCAAAAACCCUUUACCAAUAAUUUUUUAUUAGGGUCUAGGUGUAAACUUUACUAUAUGUGGGGUGUAAAACUACAUAAUAGAGUAAACCCUCAUGUAUUAAAGAUACAAGGUGUGAAAUAAAUGCGAUACUAAAUUUUGAACUUUUGAACACUUAGAAUUAAACCUAACGAAGUAGAAACUAUUUCACAUAGAGAGAUUUGUCUUAGACUUUAGAAAAGACCAACGAAUAUAAACCCGACCUAAAAAAACAAUCAAACAACAAUGCUACUUACCUUAGAUAGGUGGGGUGAUGCGUCUUCUCCUUGCAUAACCAGUCCUUUACUCAGGCUAUUAUAAACCAUAGGUUCCUAAUAACCAUAAUACUAGGUGAUGACUCCUGAAUCUUAAUCAUAAUCUUAUGAGUAAACCUAAACCCAUUUCCUUUCCCAACACACACCUCUCAGGAGGCACGAAAAGCUCGUCAGCGGCAUCGACAUCGCACCUGCGACACAGUAUACUUGCAAAGGGUUGCUAGACCCAAACUGCUCUACGACACACAAUAUACUUGCACAGGGUUGCAAGACCCAAACUGCUAGGGUCUGGUAACCGUGCCAGAUCCAUGCUCCUAUUUUUAUAAAUAUAGAAAUUUACUUAUAAUUAUUCUAAAAAUAUACUUAUUUUGUAUUUUCAUCUGUCUUUUUAACCAAAAAUAUUUUUAUUUUUUCUAUAUUUCUUUCUUCUAUUUUGGGAUAUUAACCACACACAUCCCUAAAAUUCACUCAAUUUUUUUUAUUAAUCUCUAACUUUAGUGAAGAAAUCAUCUACAAAAUUACACAAAUUAAGAUAAUCCAAAGGACAGUAAGUCUUUUACAUAUACAAUGUUUUCUUUUUCUACAACAUAAUGUAUCAAUUCAAAAGUUCUCUUAUGAUCAUAUAUUUCAAAAUUUUGCAUAUAUUAAUAGUUAUAAUGUAGAAUAAACUCUCAUUGUAACAAGCUUUGACAAUUAAAUCAUGCAACAACAUCUCAAAUUUUAAAAAAAGCAUGAAUCUUUUAAAAAACCGUCCAACAUUUGGAUGGAAACAUAAAAUGAAUAUUUUACAUAUACAAUGUUUUCUUUUUCUACAACAUAAUGUAUCAAUUCAAAAGUUCAAAUGUUUUCUCUUAUGAUCAUAUAUUUCAAAAUUUUGCAUAUAUUAAUAGUUAUAAUAUAGAAUAAACUCUCAUUGUAACAAACUUUGACAAUUAAAUCAUGCAACAUCUCAAAUUUAAAAAAAAACAUGAAUUUUUUAAAAAACUGUCCAACAUUUGGAUGGAAACAUAAAAUGAAUAUUUUCAUCCACAAUGCAUACAAAAAAGAGAAGUUUAUUUUUGAAGACUUGAAAUAAAUCACUCUGAAAUCAACUUUUUUUUUUUUUGCAUUCUGUCCUCUUCGAAUAUAAAAAAUUUAUAAAAUAAGUUGCAAAAAAAAAAAGAGUUCGUAGUUAAGUUCUACUGCAUAUGAAUGAAAAUUCAUGGUUGAAUGAGGCAGUGCUUGAUUUUGCAGUCCAUUCAUGCUUUUGAAAUUUUUAAAAUUUUUUGACCUAUGCACAUGAGUCUGACAUUGUUGCUAGAUCCAGACGCGAGUCUGGCAACAAUGUUAGACCCAAACAUGGUUGCUAGACCCAAAUAUGGUUGCCAGACCAAGGCGCUUGGGCCUGACGUCUUUGUCAGACCCAAGGCGUUUGGGUCUAGAAUGGUUGAUAGACCCAAGACUCUUGAGUCUUGAAUGGUUGAUAAUGCUUCUGGCGUGGUUGCGGCAACCAAGCCAGACCCAAGAUGCUAAAGUGGUAGAGAAAAAGCAAUGAUUGAGAAGAAAAAAAAAGCAAAGAAACGUCUCACAAAAAGAUAAGAAAUUGAAAAUGAAACUACUAUUACAAUCCGCAGUAAAAAGUCUCUUAAUCUACAGUGAUUUCCCAGACCAUUUAGUUUUUGUUAUAAUUAAUUUUCCUAAAAGAUGCUAGAAGGUUUUUUUUUUUUUUUAAAUAAUGGUUUCUUAAUUAUUUUUAUUCUUGUUUAGUUUAGAAAAAUUUUCUUUUAUUUAUAGUAUUUUUAUUUUUUCCCAUUUAAUUAAAAAUUUUGUUCUUUCUUAUUUAAUUUAGUCAUAAGACUAGUAUAAAUAGCAUUGUUUAGUUUAUAUUUUAUAAGACUGCCUAAAAAGAAAAUAUUAAGUAAUAAAAUUUUAAAUUAGGAUUUUGAUGUGUUGAAUAGUCAUGGAUGAAAGAUAUAAUAGAAUAGGAUGUAAUCUUGUAGGGAGGGAGUAGAAUGUUCUCUCUCGAGGGAAAAGACGUUCAAGAAUUGAUGAUGGAAGACAUACAAAUUAAAGACAAGUUGCAAAAUGGACUAUCAGUUAGUGAUGAUAAAUUUAAUUACAGAGAUAAGUUAAAGAAUUAUAACAUCAACUAAACAGGAUAUAAAAAAAAAAAAAAAAAAGAUUGAAUGAUCAUGAGAAUAGUAAUCAUGAAUUCGUAAUUAAUUUUAAGAACUUGUUUUAAAAGCAUAAGUAGACGAGACAAUUUCUUAACAAAGAAGAUGCCUCAGCUUCUUAGUCCAAACCAUCGACAUCUAAGAAGAUCAGCACAUCCAUGUGAAGUGCAUGUCUUCCUGAAUGGAAAUUAAGAGCUCUUCAGGUAGUGGUAAUAGCUCAUACGUUUUCUCAUUCCUUUCUUUGACUGACGUUCUCUUCCAAGUCAACUUAUGUUUGUUUAACUCAUAAUCAUUUUGGUCUUUUUUUUUAAAUUCAUUUUGCACAUCAACUUGUGUUCUCAAAGAAAUUAGAGUCACCUUUGGUCUUUUUUUAAUUCAUUUUCCAUGGAAGCUGAAUAUAUUUCUUCAUUUUUCUUGCCCCACUUCGUUUCUUUUUAAUUGUCCUUGUGAUACGUUGUUUCCAACUGAAAAAUACUUUAAAUUGCUUUUAAAGCAGUCGUUGAUGUCUACAGUGCAACUCCACUUAACCCACACUUCUUCUCAUUCCUUUCUUUGGCGGACAUCCUCCUCUUCCACAUCAACUUGUGUUACGGGGGAGAGACAUUAGAGUCAUAUCGGUCUUUUUUAAUUCAUUUUCCAUUGAAGCUAAACCGAUUUCUUGAUUUUUCUUGCCCGGCUUUGUUCUUUUUGUAUAGCAGUCGUUAAUGUCUACAGUGCAACUCUCCACUUACUCACUUUUUCUCGUUCGUUUCUUUGGCGGACAUCCUCUUCCACAUCAACUUGUGUUACGGGGGAGAGACAUUAGAGUCAUAUCGGUCUUUUUUAAUUCAUUUUCCAUUGAAGCUAAACCGAUUUCUUGAUUUUUCUUGCCCGGCUUUGUUCUUUUUGUAUAGCAGUCGUUAAUGGCCACAGUGCAACUCCACUUACUCACCUUUUCUCGUUCCUUUCUUUGGCCGACAUCCUCUUCCAAUAACUCAUAGUCAUUUAAAAUGACUCAUUUUUGUCCUUUUUUUAAACUCAUUUUCUGUGGAAGCUGAAUCUAUUAAUUAGAUUUGUUUCUUUUUAAUUGCAUUUGUUGUGUCUGUUGUUUCCAACCGCGAAACACCUUAAAUUGCUUUCGUAGCGGUCAUUAACGGCUACAAUACAACUCAUCUUAAUUUAUUUGUUUUUAUGUUUUGAAAGUAUUUUAGAAAAAAAUUAAAUUAAAUUUUAUUUUUUAUUUUAAAUUAAUUGUUUUUAAUAUUUUUAAAUUAUUUUAAUAUAAUAAUGUUAAAAAUAAAAAAUAUAUUUUUGAAAACAACAAUACCACUUAAUCUCAAGUGGUGAUAUUCUUGGAUGUUGAUAGAAAUGACUACGAAGCUGAGGCAUUAUACAAGUUGAGGCAUCUUCUUAAUCACAAUGAUGACUUGAAAGUUUUUAAUCCUUAAUUUCUCUGCUUUGAUCAAUAUAUCUUAUUUUUUAUUUUAUUUUUCUGCUAUGAUGUUGAAAUUAUACCACUACUUGUAAUACACAAGAGAUAUACACAAAUAAUAGAGACAGAAGAGUGAGAAUUAAAAACAAAGUCAGAAUUUUCUUAUUGAUUUUCUCUCUUUCAAUUCCUUUGUGUUUAUUAGGGGUGAUCAUUUUCGGUUCGGUUCGGUUUUUAUCAAAAAAAGUAACCAAACCGAAAUUUUUUUUUUUGAAAAAAAAACCGAAACCGAACCGAAACCGGGUCAAACCGGCCGGUUUCGGUUCGGUUUUUUUAGGGCAAAAACCGGUUCAAACCGAUUUGGCUCGGUUUUUCCGGUUUUGGCUCGGUUUUUUCCGGUUUAGCUCGGUUUUUCCGGUUUGGCUCGGUUUUGGCUCGGUUUUUCCGGAUUGGCUUGGUUUGGCUCGGUUUUUUUUCCGGUUUUUUGUUGGUUUCGGUUCGGUUCGGUUUUUUGUUUAUAAAACCGAAACCGAACCGAACCGGCCGGUUUUUUCAAAAAAUUAAUCGGUUUAAUCGGUUUUUUUUUUCGGUUCGGUUUUUUCGGUUAAUUUUUUUCCGGUUUUCUCGGUUUAAUCGGUUUUCCGGUUUUUUUGCUCACCCCUAGUGUUUAUAUAAAAAUAUUAUUAAUUAUACUUCAAGUAUUAUAAAAUAAUAAAAAAUAAAAGACACUAUAUCCAUCGAUCGACCUUGACUUAUAUAAUUAAUGACUUAAUUUUAAAUUUUCUUACAAUGUCUAUAUGGAAGUUGUGAAGUGAAUGGAUCCCCUGUGUGUUUAAGAAGAUGCCACAUGAAAAAAAUAAUUUUAAUGGUUCAGAUGCCUUAUUUAUCUUAUUAGAUUCUCUAUGAGUUUCAUGCUACAGACCACGCUAGCCAUUAGAAUCUCUCAUCCAAAAAUAAUUAUACGUGUAGGUUUUUUAAUGUAUUUUUAUACAUAAUUUUUUUAAUAUUAAUAUAUUAAAAUAAUCUAAAAACAUAUAAAUAAAUAAAUAAAAUUCAAUUUCUUUCUGAAAUACUUUUACACCACAGAAACCCACGGAAAAGGAAUGAGAAAACGUGUGGGCUAUUGAUGACUUUGAGAAAGACUGAAGCUCUAAAUAAUUUCCUUUGAGGAAGGCUUGCAGUACUUCACAUGCAAGCUGAGGCAUCUUCUUAAACACACUGAAAACUUUUAAAAAAAAAAAAUUAUUUAAAAGUAUAGGGAACGGACACUUAGAGGAUAUUUAUCUAGUGAAAUAGAGAUUGUUUUUUAAAAUGUAUUUUUUUUAAUAUAUUAAAAUAAUAUUUUUUUAAAAGUAUUUUUAAUAUUAGUACAUCAAAAUUAUCUAAAAACAUUAAAGAAAAAUUAAUUUAAAAUGAAAAAAAAUUUAAAAUAUUUUAAAAAAAUAAAAAUAAAUAUAUGAAAAAAAAACUAUAGGGAAAAAUUAAUAGUGUUUUGCGGUUAAGGCUAUAUACCACAUAAUAAGAUAAAUAAGGUUUCUGAAUAAUUAAAAUUAUUUUUUUUACGUGGCAUUUUUUUAAAUACACUACUGACCUAAUAAAAGAGUGAGAAAACAAAUCUAACACUUUCAGUUUUAUAAAAUAAUAAUAAUAAUAAUAAAAGAAAUUAUAUCCAUCGACCUUGACUUAUACAAUUAAUGAUUUAAUUUUAAAUUUUCUUAUAGUGUUUUUGAUAUUAUAAAUAGGGAAGUUGUGAAGUGAAUGGAUUCAAAGUUAAAUACCCGCCAAAUUCUCAUUGCUCUCAAUUAUUACUUCCAUACCCAAUUCGAUAUUAUCUUUUUUUGUGAUCACGCUGCUGAUAAAGCACGACAAGUCGUUUCAUCAUCUUUAUGUGCUCGUUGUGCUUCUGUUGCUCAUGAAACUUGCACCUGGGUUCAUUUCUGGAGUGAAAGGGGCAACUUUCGGGUGCAUAGAGAGGGAGAGACAAGCCCUUCUCAAGUUUAAAGAAGACCUUAUUGAUAACUUUGGUCUUCUUUCAACAUGGGGAAGUGAAGAAGAGAAGAGGGAUUGCUGCAAAUGGAGAGGAGUUGGUUGCAACAAUCGCACUGGUCAUGUUACUCAUCUUGAUCUUCAUCGGGAGAAUGAAUAUUUAGCAGGUAAGAUCAGUAAUUCAUUACUGGAGUUG